GAUGAAGAACGUAGCAAAAUGCGAUAAGUAGUGUGAAUUGCAGAAUCCCGUGAACCAUCGAGUUUUUGAACGCAAGUUGCGCCCGAAGCCGUUAGGCUGAGGGCACGCCUGCCUGGGUGUCACACAUCGUUGCCCCAAUGCCAAUCGCCUCACUUUGUAGGUAUUUGCUUGGGGUGAAUGUUGGCCUCCCGUGAGCUUUGUCUCACGGUUGGUUGAAAAUCGAGUGCAUGGUGUCGGGUGUACCAUGAUGGAUGGUGGUUGAGUGAUGAUGCUCGAGACCAAUCAUGGGUAACUCCACCAGAAUUGGGCUCGGUGACCCACAUGCGUCCCUUGGAUGCUCCCUAAGGAGACCUCAGGUCAGGCGGGGCUACCCGCUGAGUUUAAGCAUAUCAAUAAGCGGAGGA
rnacentral:misc_RNA from 1 species